AUAAAGUCAGUGGGUGAUCUAAAUCCAACUAAAGAUAAGAGUUUGGGUAGGGUAGGCAGCCAUCUUGAACCUAAUCCCCUCCAGAUGUGAGCGAAGCCUGACAGAUCCAGGGAGGUUCUCCGGUGGGAUAGAGGCUGUCCUUGUGCCCAAUAAAGGGGGUGUGGGGAGGAAUUUAAAACUCCAGGAAGGUCAGAAGAAGCAAAAUGAAAAGUGGGGGUGUCUUUUGUAAAAGAAAGCACAAGAAUCUAAGACGGCAGAGACACAGGGAUAGAAAUGUUCAGCCGGGGUGCGCAAAACCAUUCUGUUUUCUCCAGAUCAGUUAACAAAAUUUGAAAAGAUAUUUCUGAAUGGUAACUGAUUACGAGGGGAGGGAUUGAAUGAGCGUACAUUCAUAAGUGCUCUCCAGCCUUGAAGAGCUGACUUGCCAAUUCAACAUCUGGUUUUCAGGUAUGCGACCUCUUUUGGAGGCCUGAGCAUUCAUACUCGCAGGUCUGGGAGUGCAGCAUUGAUGCCUCGGAGGCAACACCUGUUCCAAUGAACGCAUGAAACCGGCAUUUUUGCCUUUUUGCUUUGAUCCACUGAUGGUGCUCAGUGUCUUGUUUACAAAAAGCGGUUUUCGAAGUUGUCCCCAAGUUGUUCCCCAAAUCACACGCCAGUCUAGGUUGUAAUUGUGAUUAUAUCAAGGUAUAAUUGCACGAUAUUUGGCCGCUGAAAACGAACCCCCUGAGCUCCUAUUUCGGAUUCCAACCGGUGCAAAACAAUUAUUGUAAAAAAGCUGCAGAAAAACAAAGUGGAUAACUUUCAAUCUUUGGAUAAUGUAAUAAUCAAAUAAUUUCACUCAGUUGUCCUGUAUCCCAAUGAAACAUGGUUUACUGGAGGUGCACAGCUAAACCCAGAGAACGUUGGAUCCAAGUCAGGUUGAAAAAUACAUAUAACAAAAUGGAAUUGAUUGCUACGAUUAUAGCCAGGUGUUUGAAUCCUCUCCAAAAAGACGAUCCAAUCAUUUAGAUCUGGAAUGGCAGUCCUUUUUUUUUUUUUUUCCCCCAGCUGCAGUUCUCCCAUGUUCCUAUUUUUAAUCUUGCCUUCAAUUGGCAAACCCCAAACACUGCAAACUGAUCCCACAAAUCGACUGUGCCAAAAACUCACACAAAUGCAUACGGUACCUUUGAAACUGGAAAUCUGAGACCGGCUAUAUAGAACUAUAGCCCCGUUUCGAGUUGGCAAAAAUGAACAGUACCUCUGGAGACAGAAAAGGGAGGGUCCAUUCAUUUAAAUCUUCCCCAGUUUUGGUUUUUUUUUUUUUUUAAAAAAAGAAAAUCAAAAUGAGAAUGAUUAACCCAAAGGAAGACAAUUCCCUGCAGGUAGAAAGUACGUCGAAGAAAAAAAAUGUACCUCUGACCGACAUUUAUCUCGCCACGUUAAGUCUUCUAUCUGCAGAAGCUUUUUAAAAUAAAAACUUAGGGAGGCAUCGAUCUAUACACCCAGAUGCAACUUUCAAUUGAUUUCCUGCUGUCAAGUUAUCCUAUCCCUGAUUGCGUUCAGGUCCCUUGAAGCAGAAGUCAAAAAGCUGGAACGAAAGGAGUCCCCAAGUUGAAUCGGGAAAACCAACUUUCUCCUAAAACAGAAGGAGAAGGGACAGGCUCCACCAGCCUGGAAACUAUGGGUAGUAGGUUCUUCCUUGCCAGGCACCUAUCCCUGCUCUCAAAUACCCUGAUGGCUUGAUUAAAGAGGGAGGGAGG